ACGCUCGACACCUACGGGAGCAGCAGUGAGGAAUAUUGGUCAAUGGGCGCUAGCCUGAACCAGCCAAGUAGCGUGAAGGAUGAAGGCUCUAUGGGUCGUAAACUUCUUUUAUAUAAGAAUAAAGUGCAGUAUGUAUACUGUUUUGUAUGUAUUAUAUGAAUAAGGAUCGGCUAACUCCGUGCCAACAGCCGCGUAAUCUGAGCGGGCUGGCAAGGC
rnacentral:rRNA from 1 species